UGUAGCUGUAGAGCGCUGUGUUUGGGAGGCUGGUUACCUAGCAACAGGAAAGAAUGCCAUCCUUGGUGUGGGUGCUCACAGGAGAAAUGGGGGAACAGAGGAGGAAAAGAAGGGCUGGUUGACUUAGCAAACGCACUGGAAGUGGCCUCUUAGUUACUAGUAUUUUCUUUCACACAUCACAAAGCCAACGCUCUCUAGCUGUGAUCCUCAGAGCAGAGCUCAAUGAAGGAAUUAUCUGGAAUCCUAUGGAGGCAGAAGGAACACGGAGACGAUGUCAGCAAAGGGACUGCAGGAGCAAACACGCCCUGAGGAGCCACGCUAAAAAGCAGCGAGAAGGAAGCCAAAGGACCAGGUUGAAGUGCAUUUUAUCGGAAAUUUUAAAUGCUGAACUCAAAAG